rnacentral:rRNA from 1 species
GAUGAACGCUGUCUACAGGCUUAACACAUGCAAGUCGAGGGGAAACGACGGGGAAGCUUGCUUCCCCGGGCGUCGACCGGCGCACGGGUGAGUAACGCGUAUCCAACCUGCCUCUGACUGAGGGAUAACCCGUCGAAAGUCGGCCUAAUACCUCAUGGCAUCGUCUGCGGGCAUCCAACGACGAUUAAAGAUUUCAUCGGUCAGGGAUGGGGAUGCGUCUGAUUAGCUUGUUGGCGGGGUAACGGCCCACCAAGGCUACGAUCAGUAGGGGUUCUGAGAGGAAGGUCCCCCACAUUGGAACUGAGACACGGUCCAAACUCCUACGGGAGGCAGCAGUGAGGAAUAUUGGUCAAUGGGCGGGAGCCUGAACCAGCCAAGUAGCGUGCAGGAUGACGGCCCUAUGGAUUGUAAACUGCUUUUAUGCGGGGAUAAAGUGAGGGACGUGUCCUUCAUUGCAGGUACCGCAUGAAUAAGGACCGGCUAAUUCCGUG